GACGAACCGUGCGAACGUUGUUCGGAUUCACUGGGCUUAAAGGGCGCGUAGGCGGUCGCCUUAGUCGGGGGUGAAAUCUUUCAGCUUAACUGGAAAAUAGCCUCCGAUACUGGGCGGCUGGAGGAGGGUAGGGGCGCGCGGAACUUCCGGUGGAGCGGUGAAAUGCGUAGAUAUCGGAAGGAACACCUGAGGCGAAGGCGGGCUACUGGGCCGAUACUGACGCUGAGGCGCGAAAGCCAGGGGAGCAAACGGG
rnacentral:rRNA from 1 species